rnacentral:lncRNA from 1 species
AUGCUCUGUGGGAAAAAAAGAAAAACCUUCUGCUCCCUUAGCUCUGCUGGAAGCUGGAGGGUGCUAGGCCCCUGUGUAGUAGUGCAUAGAAUUCUAGCUUUUUUCCUCCUUUCUCUGUAUAUUGGGCUCAGAGAUUACACUGUGUCUCUAUGUGAAUAUGGACAGUUAGCCUUUACCAACAUGUAUCUGUCUACUGUCUCUUGUUUAAAAAAAGAAAAAAAACUUAAAAAAAAUGGGGUUCUAGAAGGUCUGCAAAGGUCCUUUCUGAUGCUGUGUCAUGAGGACUCAUUAGUUCCUCUUCUGAUGGCCCAAGACCAUUUAAGGAUCAGCCUUCAGACGCUUUUCAGAUCAGAGGAGUGGAGGCCAGCUCCCAGGGAUUCAUGAGGACUCAUUAGUUCCUCUUCUGAUGGUCCAAGACCAUUUAAGGAUCAGCCUUCAGAUGCUUUUCAGGUCAGAGGAGUGGAGGCCAGCUCCCAGGGACGUUCGUGUAGGAUGAAUGCCACACAAGGAGCCCUGCCUGAGGGUGCCCUGGAUACCUGGCACAUGACCCCACUAGUUAGAAAAUAUUCGCACUUGUCUGAUAUGACUUUUGUUGUCUCCACAAUAAGCUAUUUGUAUAUUAUGUAAGUUUAUAAAUUUGUGUAUCUCCACAUAUAGACUACUUGUAAGUUUGACAAUCUUACAGUAGAUGGCAGUAGAGUGUAUUAUUCUAACAAAUUCAGCACAUUAGGAUAAUUUUAUGACAAAUGAAAAUAAAGUAUCUUUUUCUAAUAGGAUUGAUAUUUCUAUUUUUUUCCUGGAGGAGCAUACUCAGUAACUGAAAUAACUUUCUGAUAUAACAACACUUUGGUAAAGAGCUUCUGCUCCUUUUCCCACUGAUAUUCAGAUUGGUAUCUUAAAACAAACAUAGAAGAAACAAUUUUUGCAUAAAUGUAGUGGCUAAUUUGACAUUUUGUAUUUCAAUUUAUAUUAUCUGCCAUUUGUUGACUGUUAAGUCCCCAUUUAAAAUUCUUAAGUACCUCCAUUAUGGCAUGAAUUACUAUGUAAUCUAUAUACAUUUAUCAUUAGUAAUCCAAAAAGUAGGUAUCGGAUA